rnacentral:rRNA from 1 species
GACGAACGCUGGCGGCGUGCCUAACACACGCAAGUCGAGCGAAUGAAGUUCCUUCGGGAACGGAUUUAGCGGCGGACGGGUGAGUAACACGUGGGCAACCUGCCUCAUAGAGGGGAAUAGCCUUCCGAAAGGGAGAUUAAUACCGCAUAAGAUUGUAGUACCGCAUGGUACAGCAAUUAAAGGAGCAAUCCGCUAUGAGAUGGGCCCGCGGCGCAUUAGCUAGUUGGUGAGGUAACGGCUCACCAAGGCGACGAUGCGUAGCCGACCUGAGAGGGUGAUCGGCCACAUUGGGACUGCGACACGGCCCAGACUCCUACGGGAGGCAGCAGUGGGGAAUAUUGCACAAUGGGGGAAACCCUGAUGCAGCAACGCCGCGUGAGUGAUGACGGCCUUCGGGUUGUAAAGCUCUGUCUUCAGGGACGAUAAUGACGGUACCUGAGGAGGAAGCCACGGCUAACUACGUG